rnacentral:rRNA from 1 species
UGGGGAAUCUUGCACAAUGGGCGAAAGCCUGAUGCAGCGACGCCGCGUGAGGGAUGACGGCCUUCGGGUUGUAAACCUCUUUCAGCAGGGACGAAGCGAAAGUGACGGUACCUGCAGAAGAAGGACCGGCCAACUACGUGCCAGCAGCCGCGGUAAUACGUAGGGUCCAAGCGUUGUCCGGAAUUAUUGGGCGUAAAGAGCUCGUAGGCGGCCUGUCGCGUCGGCUGUGAAAACCUGGGGCUCAACCCCGGGCCUGCAGCCGAUACGGGCAGGCUAGAAUUCGGUAGGGGAGACUGGAACUCCUGGUGUAGCGGUGAAAUGCGCAGAUAUCAGGAAGAACACCGGUGGCGAAGGCGGGUCUCUGGGCCGAUAUUGACGCUGAGGAGCGAAAGCGUGGGGA